rnacentral:misc_RNA from 1 species
GAUGAAGAACGCAGUGAAAUGCGAUAAGUAAUGUGAAUUGCAGAAUUCAGUGAAUCAUCGAAUCUUUGAACGCACCUUGCGCUCCUUGGUAUUCCGAGGAGCAUGCCUGUUUGAGUGUCAUUAAAUUCUCAACCUCACCAGUUUUCUGAACUGUUCUCCGAGGCUUGGAUGUGGGGGUUUGUGCAGGCUGCCUCAGCGCGGUCUGCUCCCCUGAAAUGCAUUAGCGAGUUCGAUACUGAGCUCCGUCUAUUGGUGUGAUAAUUAUCUACGCCGUGGAUCGGGGCUUAGACUCGCUUCUAACCGUCCGCAAGGACAAUACCUUGACAAUUUGACCUCAAAUCAGGUAGGACUACCCGCUGAACUUAAGCAUAUCAAUAAGCGGAGGA